rnacentral:rRNA from 1 species
AGAGUUUGAUCCUGGCUCAGGAUGAACGCUGGCGGCGUGCCUAAUACAUGCAAGUCGAACGAGUUCUGAUUAUUGAAAGAUGCUUGCAUCUUGAUUUAAUUUUGAACGAGUGGCGGACGGGUGAGUAACACGUGGGUAACCUGCCCUUAAGUGGGGGAUAACAUUUGGAAACAGAUGCUAAUACCGCAUAAAUCCAAGAACCGCAUGGUUCUUGGCUGAAAGAUGGCGUAAGCUAUCGCUUUUGGAUGGACCCGCGGCGUAUUAGCUAGUUGGUGAGGUAACGGCUCACCAAGGCAAUGAUACGUAGCCGAACUGAGAGGUUGAUCGGCCACAUUGGGACUGAGACACGGCCCAAACUCCUACGGGAGGCAGCAGUAGGGAAUCUUCCACAAUGGACGCAAGUCUGAUGGAGCAACGCCGCGUGAGUGAAGAAGGCUUUCGGGUCGUAAAACUCUGUUGUUGGAGAAGAAUGGUCGGCAGAGUAACUGUUGUCGGCGUGACGGUAUCCAACCAGAAAGCCACGGCUAACUACGUGCCAGCAGCCGCGGUAAUACGUAGGUGGCAAGCGUUAUCCGGAUUUAUUGGGCGUAAAGCGAGCGCAGGCGGUUUUUUAAGUCUGAUGUGAAAGCCCUCGGCUUAACCGAGGAAGUGCAUCGGAAACUGGGAAACUUGAGUGCAGAAAAGGACAGUGGAACUCCAUGUGUAGCGGUGAAAUGCGUAGAUAUAUGGAAGAACACCAGUGGCGAAGGCGGCUGUCUGGUCUGUAACUGACGCUGAGGCUCGAAAGCAUGGGGUAGCGAACAGGAUUAGAUACCCUGGUAGUCCAUGCCGUAAACGAUGAAUGCUAGGUGUUGGAGGGUUUCCGCCCUUCAGUGCCGCAGCUAACGCAUUAAGCAUUCCGCCUGGGGAGUACGACCGCAAGGUUGAAACUCAAAGGAAUUGACGGGGGCCCGCACAAGCGGUGGAGCAUGUGGUUUAAUUCGAAGCAACGCGAAGAACCUUACCAGGUCUUGACAUCUUUUGAUCACCUGAGAGAUCAGGUUUCCCCUUCGGGGGCAAAAUGACAGGUGGUGCAUGGUUGUCGUCAGCUCGUGUCGUGAGAUGUUGGGUUAAGUCCCGCAACGAGCGCAACCCUUAUGACUAGUUGCCAGCAUUUAGUUGGGCACUCUAGUAAGACUGCCGGUGACAAACCGGAGGAAGGUGGGGAUGACGUCAAAUCAUCAUGCCCCUUAUGACCUGGGCUACACACGUGCUACAAUGGAUGGUACAACGAGUUGCGAGACCGCGAGGCCAAGCUAAUCUCUUAAAGCCAUUCUCAGUUCGGACUAUAGGCUGCAACUCGCCUACACGAAGUCGGAAUCGCUAGUAAUCGCGGAUCAGCACGCCGCGGUGAAUACGUUCCCGGGCCUUGUACACACCGCCCGUCACACCAUGAGAGUUUGUAACACCCGAAGCCGGUGGCGUAACCCUUUUAGGGAGCGAGCCGUCUAAGGUGGGACAAAUGAUUAGGGUGAAGUCGUAACAAGGUAACC